rnacentral:other from 1 species
AUCUGGUAAGAUUAAGAUUGCUUAUUUUUGUUCGUGUAAUAGCUUAAGUCUUUCGUCUUGAGUUUCGCUUUGAGCAAGGAUAGGAAUACAAUUGUGCGAAUAACGCACUAGGAGGCAACAACAAUGGAAACAGGUACAGUUAAGUGGUUCAACGCAGAAAAAGGAUUCGGCUUCAUCGAGCGCGAAGGUAACGACGAUGUAUUCGUUCACUUCUCAGCGAUCACUGGCGAAGGCUUCAAGACGUUAGAAGAAGGUCAAAGAGUUUCUUUCGAAAUCGAAGAUGGCGCACGUGGCCCUCAAGCUGCUAACGUAGUUAAAGAAGGUUAAUCUUCUUUCUAUAAAAACAGACUCGGACAUCCGAGUCUGUUUUUU